CUACAGCUACAACCGCACGGAUUGAGUCUUAAGUUCAGCAAUGGCACUUACAUUCGGCGAGUCUAAGUGAUUUA
rnacentral:sRNA from 1 species